rnacentral:ncRNA from 1 species
CUCUUAUCCAGAGAGGCGGAGGGACUGGCCCUAUGAAGCUUCAGCAACAGACUGUUUGUACUGUGCUAAUUCCAGACUAGAUAAGAA